rnacentral:rRNA from 1 species
GACGAACGCUGGCGGCGUGCUUAACACAUGCAAGUCGAACGGAAAGGCCCUGCUUUUGUGGGGUGCUCGAGUGGCGAACGGGUGAGUAACACGUGAGUAACCUGCCCUUGACUUUGGGAUAACUUCAGGAAACUGGGGCUAAUACCGGAUAGGAGCUCCUGCUGCAUGGUGGGGGUUGGAAAGUUUCGGCGGUUGGGGAUGGACUCGCGGCUUAUCAGCUUGUUGGUGGGGUAGUGGCUUACCAAGGCUUUGACGGGUAGCCGGCCUGAGAGGGUGACCGGCCACAUUGGGACUGAGGUACGGCCCAGACUCCAACGGGAGGCAGCAGUGGGGAAUAUUGCACAGUGGGCGGGAGCCUGAUGCAGCAACGCCGCGUGCGGGAUGACGGCCUUCGGGUUGUAAACCGCUUUCGCCUGUGACGAAGCGUGAGUGACGGUAAUGGGUAAAGAAGCACCGGCUAACUACGUG